CGCGGGAGGGGCUUCCGCCGCGAGGGGGCGGGGCCGGCGCUCAGAGUCCUCUGACGGCCCCAGCCAGGGAAUUUCAAUUUGAAACCUAGCGGAGGGAGGAGGCAGGCGCGGCUGCUGGCGGCUGGGACUGAAGAGGGACGGGUCCCCGCGGCGAGCAAGCUCCUGAGCAUAAGCUGUGGCCAUGACUACUGAAGUAGGCUCUGCAUCUGAAGUGAAGAAGGACUCUAGCCAGUUAGGAACAGAUGCAACCAAGGAAAAACCUAAAGAAGUAGCAGAAAAUCAGCAGAAUCAGUCUUCUGAUCCAGAGGAGGAAAAAGGUUCCCAGCCAUCUCCUGCAGCUGGAAGCCAAAGUAGUCUACGCCGCCGGAAGAGAGAGAAGGAAACAUCUGAGAGCAGGGGUAUUUCUCGGUUCAUACCGCCGUGGCUUAAGAAGCAAAAGUCAUAUACCUUAGUAGUGGCCAAAGAUGGAGGAGAUAAAAAAGAGCCCACCCAAGCUGUUGUUGAAGAACAGGUCUUAGAUAAAGAGGAACCCCUUCCGGAAGAACAGAGACAGGCUAAGGGUGAUGCUGAAGAAAUGGCUCAGAAGAAACAAGAGAUUAAAGUUGAAGUCAAGGAAGAAAAACCCUCAGUGAGCAAAGUGGAGACGCAGCCUACUGAAUUAGUAAGUAAGGAGAGAGAAGAGAAGGUAAAAGAAACACCGGAAGACAAAUUAGAAGGAGGAGCAGCAAAAAGGGAGACCAAGGAAGUGCAGACCAAUGAGCUGAAAGCAGAGAAGGCAUCUCAAAAAGUCGCCAAGAAGACCAAAACUGUCCAGUGUAAAGUGACCCUCUUAGAUGGCACCGAAUACAGCUGUGACCUGGAGAAACAUGCCAAGGGACAAGUGUUAUUUGACAAAGUGUGUGAACACCUCAAUCUCUUGGAGAAAGACUACUUUGGACUUUUGUUUCAGGAAAGCCCUGAGCAGAAAAACUGGCUAGAUCCUGCUAAAGAAAUAAAGAGACAACUGAGAAACCUUCCCUGGCUAUUCGCUUUUAAUGUGAAGUUUUAUCCUCCUGAUCCUUCUCAACUGACUGAAGAUAUCACCAGAUACUUCUUGUGCCUUCAGCUCCGGCAGGACAUUGCCUCUGGCCGCCUGCCCUGCUCUUUUGUGACUCAUGCUCUCCUGGGAUCCUACACCCUGCAGGCUGAACUUGGUGACUAUGAUCCAGAAGAACAUGGCAGCAUCGACCUCAGUGAAUUCCAGUUUGCCCCUACUCAGACUAAGGAGCUGGAAGAGAAGGUGGCAGAGCUGCACAAAACCCACAGGGGCUUAUCUCCAGCACAAGCCGAUUCCCAGUUCUUAGAAAAUGCAAAGAGGCUUUCCAUGUAUGGCGUUGACCUACAUCAUGCCAAGGACUCAGAAGGUGUGGACAUCAAGCUGGGUGUAUGUGCUAAUGGACUUCUCAUUUACAAAGACAGACUGCGAAUCAAUCGUUUUGCUUGGCCGAAAAUCUUAAAAAUUUCCUAUAAACGCAGUAACUUCUACAUUAAAGUCAGACCAGCAGAGCUGGAACAGUUUGAGAGUACCAUUGGAUUCAAACUGCCAAACCACCGGGCAGCGAAAAGACUAUGGAAAGUGUGCGUGGAACAUCAUACUUUCUACAGGCUUGUUUCUCCAGAGCAGCCACCAAAAGCCAAGUUCCUGACCUUGGGGUCCAAAUUUCGCUAUAGUGGCCGCACCCAAGCUCAGACCCGCCAGGCCAGCACCCUCAUAGAUAGGCCAGCACCACACUUUGAGCGCACUUCUAGUAAACGGGUCUCCAGGAGUCUAGAUGGAGCUCCGAUUGGUGACGUGGACCAAAGUCUUAUGAAAGAUUUUCCUGGCACUGCUGGGGAGAUUUCAGCCUAUGGCCCUGGAGUUGUCAGCAUUGCCGUGGUACAAGGUGGGGACGGCAGGAGGGAAGUGAGAAGCCCAACUAAAGCCCCACAUUUGCAACUCAUUGAAGGAAAGAGAAAAGGAGACCAUCUUUUCAAGGAUAUUUUAUCCGUGAAGGAGAAGUACCUGAUGCCGACAACACGGACGGUUGAAGAAAAAGCUCAGGAGACGGACAAGAGCCUAGAAGAGGAGAUAACAUCAAUUUUGUUUAGUGAAAAGGGCUUUUCUGAUAGCAUGAAAGCCACCUUCACUUCAGCCACCACUUGGACAGCAGAGGGCGCUGUUGUGAGCUCUAAUGCACCUUCUGAAAAGCUUUCUUCCUCGCCCUUCUCACACUUGCUUGAGACACGUGCUCCUGAGUCAGAAGGGCCUUGCACUGGAGCCAGGGAUGCUGUUAAGAGUUCACAUGAGACUCUGAAUAUAGUGGAGGAGAAGAAGCGGGCAGAGGUUGGGAAAGACGAAAGAGUAAUCACAGAAGAAAUGAAUGGUAAAGAGAUAUCACCUGGGAGUGGUCCUGGGGCGAUUCGUAAGGUGGAGCCUGUGACACAAAAAGACUCCACCUCCCUGUCUUCUGAGAGCAGCAGCAGCAGCAGUGAGAGUGAGGAGGAAGACGUGGGAGAGUACCGUCCCCACCACCGAGUGACCGAGGGCACCAUCAGGGAGGAACAGGAGUAUGAAGAAGAGGUGGAGGAAGAACCCUGCCUGGCAGCCAAGGUAGUAGAGAGGGAGGAAGCAGUGCCCGAAGCCAGCCCAGUCACACAAGCAGGUGCCAGUGUAAUCACAGUAGAAACAGUGAUCCAGGAAAAUGUAGGUGCCCAAAAGAUACCUGGAGAGAAGAGUGUACACGAAGGCGCUCUUAAGCAAGACAUGGGAGAAGAAGCAGAGGAAGAGCCACAGAAAGUUAACGGAGAGGUGUCCCAUGUUGACAUUGAUGUUUUGCCACAAAUUAUUUGUUGUUCAGAGGUAAAUGGGAGUCCCAGGUGGGAGCCAAACUCUAGAGCUGCUUCUCAGAUGGGGAACUCCUGCCUUUCUUCUCCUGUCCUCCCAGUUCUUCAGCUUUUUUCAACAAGAAUCUCGUUUUUCUGUCUCAUGGGAGGAAGGGGGAAGCACUGCUUUGUGGAUUUUCUGCCCGCUCAGUUCAUGGGUUCCAGCUUCUCUGCUGCCACUGGACACCUCCACCAGUGGUAAAAACAGAGAUGGUAACAAUUUCUGAUGCCUCACAAAGGACAGAAAUCUCCACCAAGGAAGUCCCCAUUGUCCAAACUGAGACCAAAACCAUCACAUAUGAGUCUCCACAGAUUGAUGGCGGGGCUGGUGGUGAUUCGGGCACGUUACUGACUGCACAAACCAUCACAUCUGAGUCUGUGUCAACAACGACAACCACACACAUCACCAAGACUGUAAAAGGUGGAAUUUCUGAAACAAGAAUUGAGAAACGCAUUGUGAUCACAGGAGAUGGAGAUAUUGAUCAUGACCAGGCACUAGCUCAGGCGAUCAGGGAAGCCAGAGAGCAGCACCCUGACAUGUCGGUCACAAGAGUGGUGGUACACAAAGAAACAGAGUUGGCGGAGGAAGGGGAAGAUUAAGUAAGAAAGUCGUUUUUUAAACAACACUCAACUUUGUGAACCCCUGAAGAUUUUUUGACCGUUCCGAGUCUUAAUGCCACACCACUAUUCCAGCGAAUUUAUGCUACAACUGGUAACAAUGACCAGAAGCCUGAAGAAUUAAAAUGCCAACACCAAACCUUUCCUUACCAGCUCUGGUCUAUAUUGCUCCCAUGCAUUUAAUAUAUUAUUUUGUUUUAUAACCACUUCUAAAUAUUCUCGGUUCUUUCUUUUUGUUGUUGUUAAUUAAGGGGUUUUGGUUUUGUUUUCUGUUUACUUUGUGUGCAACUACCUGCUUUUAAUGACUCACUUUGAUCAAAUGACAGUGGACAAAGCCAGCCCAAGCUGGUAAGGUGCUGUUCACUUGAACAGGUGCUGUUGUGCAGAAAGGAAACUCUGUGACUAAUUUAGAUAGUGGCUUUCCUUCUUCUGGAUUCUUUUCAUUGAAUUCUCAUAGUAAAUAUUUACAGAGUUUUCAAAUUGCAGCAAAUAUACUGUAUGAGAAAAUAUUAAUACAGAUUAAAAUCAUUUCUUACAUCUUGAAAAUUUUCUAAUAUUUGAGAAUUUCACAGGGAUGUUUUUUAUAUUGGACCCUUUUGACUUUCCAGUCCUGUGACUUUCUACUUUUAGUAGAGAGUCAGAAUCUCUGGACUGGAGAACUAUGAAGAAGUUCACUGACUGUGCACUGUGCUUAGAGACCCUGCCGCACCACAGUGCCAAUGCUUGUCAGACACAUGCCCUUCAGCAGCAUUCCAGAACAGGAGGGAAGAAAAAGAGAAAACUUUCUUCCCUUCUACUAAAAGAUUCAGGCAGCUUAAAACCGUAGUGCUUUCUUUCUUAACGUACCCAAAUUUCAAUUCUUUCCAUUAUUUGAACACUUGGGUAGAACUCUUGCUUUGUAUUAAACCUCCUUGUCUACACAUGUAAAACUGACAUUUUGUUAUUGAGCAGGCCUAUCUCUUUCAGAUAGUUUUACGAUUCACACAGGUUUGAGGAUGCUGGGGAGAGGGGGAGGGGGCUGUGGUGGUGUUCUGUUGGUUACAAGAAAGUUAUACCAUUUAAAGCUGGCACCAGAGACCUGAUAGGGACUUAUUAACUAUAUUGAACAUUUUUUCCUUUGCCUUUGACCCUAUGUAUAGUUACGAUGCCAGAUUAGAUUUAUAGCAGCUUCAAGUUGUAUUAAAUGAUAUUUGGCUUCCUGUAAUACUGUUAUAAAAUAAAGUUUGUUUAUUCUCUAAA